rnacentral:lncRNA from 1 species
AGGGGUUCAGUUGCUUUGGCUGCUUUGCCCUGGGAAUGGUUAUAUGAAACUGCCUGUCAGCACAGGAAAUUUAAAAAUGGGGACAGGUCCUGGUAUCUAAAUGGUGGAAUUGCAAGAAUACCACUGGGGCCCAGGGUAUGUGUGUGUGCGGGGCGGAAUCCAAGCAACCUAGCCAGAGCUAGAGAAGAGGCCUUCUGUUCUCCACACACUUCACCCAACACUCAGUCAGGCUGAUGUACAGACUGAGGAGCACCUGCUGAGAAAGUACCCCCACAGUACAGCAAAAAGCUUCAAACAAGAAUGGGUACAGAGGCCACCACCUCAGUAGAUGGACGUCACCCAUGGGUCAAACCCAACCAGAAUGAGGGCCAGCUUCAAAAGGCCAGCAUUCUCAGGAGGCCUUAACAGGAUCCGGUCGGUCAUGAAAACAUAGAAGAUAAAGGGAAAAAAAAUGGCUCUGCAUUCUAAGUGCAGGAAUGAGUGAGUCUGGAGAGAGGAGAGAGCUGACAAACAGCAGUACUGAUGGCCCUGGUGUUAGAAGUAUCAGGAGAAAGUCUAAAACAGCAUGGUAGGUGUACUGCUCAGUGCCACCCAACACAAGCAGCCAAUCGUCCAGACACACUGUUAUAUUUAUAGGAGUCUAUAAUUUAUGUUAUUUAUAGAUCACAGACAGAAAAAAAAAGAAUCCUCCAAUCUGAGAUGUAGAAACGAACUUCAAAGAGAUAAACAAGAGGUGUCCUAACUACUCUGGGACUCUGCCAGCAGGAGAUCUGUGACCGGAGGAAAACCUUGCACUUGAAUCUUCCCAACACCAAGUCCAAAUAAACCAUUUUCUCCAUGAAACAAAAGAAAAGCCUUAAAUCAUUCAAGGUAACAGGAAUGUUGGUCAUAUACAAACAUAGAUUGGCAAAUUACCAGUGAGGGAGGUUGCUUAGCUAGCUCCUACGUGUGGGGACCAACAAGACCGAACUACAUAGAUCAGAGCAAGCUGAUGGUUAAUGCUCAGCACACUUGGGCAGAGCGACGCAUACAGGCGACAGCAGAGCAAAUGAGUCCCCACAAGAGCGGAAAAUUCAUUUAUUAUCAAAAGACAUGAAGACACGAAAAGUUGUAAUACCCUGAGUUGUAAUACACCGACCUGUGGGAUGUCUCAGAGGUACAUGGAGAAAAGAUGAGCGACAUUAUUCCUAACACAGAGGGCAAAUCAAGACACACCAUGUACAAAGUGGCCAUGAAUUGAAAAUCUUUGAAGAUCUUGGCCAAGCAUGGUGCUUUAUGCUUGCAAUCCCAGUGCUUGGGAAACCAAUAGAAAAGAUUGCCAUUCACUCUGAGACUGGUGUACACUACAAGGUGAAGGAUUGCUGUGCUCAAUUCAAAGACCACUUCCUUGGCUGAGCAGCGAU